UACAGAGGUCCCAAGCGUUGUUCGGAUUCACUGGGCGUAAAGGGUGCGUAGGUGGCGGGGUAAGUCGGAUGUGAAAUCUCCGAGCUCAACUCGGAAAUGGCAUUGGAAACUACCUUGCUCGAGGGUUGGAGGGGGGACUGGAAUACUUGGUGUAGCAGUGAAAUGCGUAGAUAUCAAGUGGAACACCAGUGGCGAAGGCGAGUCCCUGGACAACUCCUGACACUGAGGCACGAAAGCUGGGGGAGCAAACAGG
rnacentral:rRNA from 1 species